GGAGAGAUGCUCGAGUGGCUGAAGAGGCACGCCUGGAAAGCGUGUAUACGUCGAAAACGUAUCGGGGGUUCGAAUCCCCCUCUCUCCG
rnacentral:tRNA from 1 species